rnacentral:rRNA from 1 species
AACGAACGCUGGCGGCAUGCCUAACACAUGCAAGUCGAACGAGACCUUCGGGUCUAGUGGCGCACGGGUGCGUAACGCGUGGAAACCUGCCCUUAGGUUCGGAAUAACUCCCCGAAAGGGGUGCUAAUACCGGAUAAUGUCUUCGGACCAAAGAUUUAUCGCCUUUGGAUGGGCCCGCGUUGGAUUAGCUAGUUGGUAGGGUAAAAGCCUACCAAGGCGACGAUCCAUAGCUGGUCUGAGAGGAUGAUCAGCCACACUGGGACUGAGACACGGCCCAGACUCCUACGGGAGGCAGCAGUGGGGAAUAUUGGACAAUGGGCGAAAGCCUGAUCCAGCAAUGCCGCGUGAGUGAUGAAGGCCUUAGGGUCGUAAAGCUCUUUUACCCGGGAUGAUAAUGACAGUACCGGGAGAAUAAGCUCCGGCUAACUCCGUG